rnacentral:rRNA from 1 species
UACAGAGGGUGCAAGCGUUAAUCGGAAUUACUGGGCGUAAAGCGUGCGUAGACGGUUACAUAAGUCGGGUGUGAAAGCCCCGGGCUCAACCUGGGAAUUGCAUUCGAGACUGCGUAGCUAGGGUGCGGAAGAGGGAAGCGGAAUUUCCGGUGUGAGCGGUGAAAUGCGUAGAUAUCGGAAGGAACACCAGUGGCGAAAGCGGCUCCUGGUCCAGCACCGACGUUCAGGCACGAAAGCGUGGGGAGCAAACAGG